ensembl:lncRNA
CCUUGGUCAAAAAACAACCCUUUGUGCAAAGCCUUUAAUGCUCUUCCCAGACCCUUCCAUCAUAUUGAUUACACAUAGUGCUUCCCUGCAUACUGCAAAACACUGAAGAUGAGGGCUUGGGUUCUUUCUAUAUUAUACAACUCAUGCUUAUACAGUCUUUUCAGCCCUCCAAGAGGAUAUAGAGAAGUGCUGCAUUGUGGUGGUAAGAGAUCAGGUUGGGUUUAAAAUUGGCCCAUCACUCAAGAGGACUACAUUGGACCAUCUACAAGCCACUCAAGAGGACUACAAUGGAGAGUGGCGAAAACAUGGCGGUGCCUCAGACAGUCCUCUUCCCCGUAGAAAAGGAGAUUUAAAAUAGAAGACAAGUUGUGGAGCAUCACCACAAGUAGAGUACAUUUAGCCCUGAUUGGUCAAUCGCUGCACUUGUAGACUCGAGGUCUAGGAUGUGGUUGGGUUUAGGAGUCUGCAAUAUGAUUGGUUGUUCUGAGAGUAACGUUCAAGCGAUUGGCCCAAGGUGUUGGGUACUAUAUUCUGAUUGGGUCCUGUUGUUGGAUGAUGUGCUCUGAUUCGGUGCAAUGUUUGCUAGCGUGUCCUGAUUGUUGGGUCUGACUAGCAGGAGCAGCUGAGAGACACAAAAUAAAUGGGGGAACAAGGAUGGAAACAGAAAGAGAUGUAUAGAUCAACAGGAGAUUUAAUGGCAGUCCUAGUAUCAGUCUGUGGUGUAGUCUCAGUCCUAGUGAAGGUAUGUCAGUCUGUAGUGUAGUCUCAGUCCUAGUAUCAGUCUGUGGUGUAGUCUCAGUCCUAGUAUCAGUCUGUGGUGUAGUCUCAGUCCUAGUGAAUGUAUGUCAGGAUGUGGUGUAGUCUCAGUCCUAGUGAAUGUAUGUAGGUCUGUGGUGUAGUCUCAGUCCUAGUGAAGGCAUGUCAGUCUGUGGUGUAGUCUCAGUCCUAGUGAAGGUAUGUAAGUCUGUGGUGUAGUCUCAGUCCUAGUGAAGGUAUGUGAGUCUGUGGUAUAGUCUCAGUCCUAGUGAAGGUAUGUAAGUCUGUGGUGUAGUCUCAGUCCUAGUGAAGGUAUGUAGGUCUGUGGUAUAGUCUCAGUCCUAGUGAAGGUAUGUAAGUCUGUGGUGUAGUCUCAGUCCUAGUGAAGGUAUGUAAGUCUGUGGUGUAGUCUCAGUCCUAGUGAAGGUAUGUAAGUCUGUGGUGUAGUCCCAGUCCUAGUGAAGGUAUGUAGGUCUGUGGUAUAGUCUCAGUCCUAGUGAAGGUAUGUAAGUCGGUGGUGUUGCCUCAGCUUUAAAGUGCAGAUCAUACUUGUUUGGUUUGUUGUCGUCUUUUUAUGUCUGGUUCAUCUUUUGGAAUGAUUCCAACUCCCCCCUCCCUAGUCUCUCCCUCCCUCCCUCCCUCC